CCUACGGGAGGCAGCAGUGAGGAAUAUUGGUCAAUGGCCGGAAGGCUGAACCAGCCAAGCCGCGUGAAGGACGAAGGUGCCAAGCAUUGUAAACUUCUUUUGUCAAGGGACAAAAUCAGGCUCGAGAGCCUGACCGAGGGUACUUGAAGAAAAAGCAUCGGCUAACUCCGUGCCAGCAGCCGCGGUAAUACGGAGGAUGCGAGCGUUAUCCGGAUUUAUUGGGUUUAAAGGGUGCGGAGGCGGGCUGUUAAGUCAGCGGUAAAAGCCCGGGGCUCAACCCCGGCGAGCCGUUGAAACUGGGUGUCUUGAGAUGUCGAGAGGUAUGCGGAAUGCGCAGUGUAGCGGUGAAAUGCUUAGAUAUUGCGCAGAACUCCGAUUGCGAAGGCAGCAUACCGGCGGCGAUCUGACGCUGAGGCACGAAAGCGUGGGUAUCAAACAGGAUUAGAUACCCGAGUAGUC
rnacentral:rRNA from 1 species